AACGAACGCUGGCGGCGCGUCUUACACAUGCAAGUCGAGCGGCAGGAAGGGGCUUGCCCCUUCUGAGAGUGGCGGACUGGUGAGUAACACGUGGGUGACAUACCUUUUAGUUGGGGAUAGCUAUUAGAAAUAGUAGGUAAUACCGAAUGUGACCGUACCUGUUAGAGGGGUACGAGGAAAGGAGCUAAGGCUUCGCUAAAAGAAUGGCUCGCGGCCCAUUAUGCUCGUUGGUGAGGUAACGGCCCACCAAGGCGAUGAUGGGUAUCCGGCCUGAGAGGGUGAACGGACACAUUGGGACUGAGAUACGGCCCAGACUUCUACGGGAGGCAGCAGUUAAGAAUAUUCCGCAAUGGACGAAAGUCUGACGGAGCGACGCCGCGUGGAUGAAGAAUGCCGAAAGGUUGUAAAAUCCUUUUAAGCCUGAUGAAGAAGCACAGUAGGGAAUGAUGGUGCGGUGACCGUAGGGCUUGAAUAAGCACCGGCUAAUUACGUG
rnacentral:rRNA from 1 species